CGUGGCAUCUGAAAAAAUAAAUAAUUGUUAAAUAUUGUUGUAUUUUGUUUAUUAAUUUAUUUUAUUUAAUAAAUUAAUUUUAAUAACAAUUGAAGAGGUAAAAAUAUUCCGAUUAAAAUUCGAUUAAACAAAAAAAUUCUAAUAAAUAUAAUAAUUUUAUAAUAAAUUGAAAAUAAAUUUAAAAUAAAUAAAUUAAGUAGAGAAAAAUACGAUUUAUAUAUAUUAAAAAUUUUAAUCGCAUUAAAUUGGAAUAUUAAUUUUUAUAUACAAUAUAUAAUAAAAAUGUGGUUGUAUAUAUAUUAUAUAUAAAGAGAUAUCAAAAACAUAUAUUCUAUAUAAUUAAUUAGAGCAAUCGUGUCAGUUUCAGAUUCAUUUGUUUUAAUUAUAUUAUACAAAAAGGUAUACAUGUAACUCUCAUAUAUAUAAUCCAUUAAGUAUGACUUUUCAAAAAUUUUCCAAUAUUACGAAACUGCAGAUGAUAAGAAAUUGACAAUUUUUUUUAAAGUCAAUUAACAAUAGGACAAUGGUAAUAAAAAUUAAAAUAAUGAUUAUAAAUAAUAUAAUAAUAAUCUAAAUACAAAUAAUAGUACACUGAGAGAAAUGGAUAGUAAGAAUUUGAUAGUAAAAAGAAAGAUUGUACAAGGUACUAUCAUUGUGUUACUGACAAGAAUCUACUAUCAACAUUUUACUAUCCAAGAUGUUACCCAAAGACGUAAAAUAUGUUAGCUUUUGGAUUGUAGUCACUACUAUCAAAUAUUGUAAAAAUUAAAUGUGAGCGCAUGCGCUGAUUGUGGUGUAUACUUCGCCUAUUCAAUUGCGGUCCUUGUGUUUUCACGCACGUGUUUAUAUAUAGUGAAAAAAGUUGUGAAUAAAAAAAUGGACGAGUUUGUUAAAAAUUUAUUAAUGUCGUUGAAUAUGGAAUCUUUGAUUCCAUCUUUUGGAGACGGUGAAAUUGAUGAAGAAUCGUUUUACUUACUGGACAAUGAUACAAUAUCACUCAUUAUACCAAAACCAGAACCUCGCUUAAAAUUUUUUAAAAAAUUUCAAGAUUACAAAAAUCAAGUAAGUUUUUUUUUCGUUUGUAUAAAUGUACAUGUGUUUAUUGAAAUUUUUUUUGGAAAACAAAUUUUUUCAUAUUUUUUCUUACUUUUUUAAACUUAAAAAUUAGUAAAAUAAUACAAAUUCAAUUGACUCUGUGAAAAAAAUAUACCGUUUGAUAAAUAUAUUUGUGUUUAAGCAAGUCCUUUUUAUAGACGGAGUGAAAAAAUAGACAUACUCUUUUUUAUGUAAAAAGUUUAAAGUUUAAAUUCUUAUCGAAAUGUCUUAUUAAAAUAAAAUGAAAUUAUUUAAGUUUACAAAAAAAGCGAGGUUAGGUUCGUGUAUAUUUGCCACUCGAGAACGUAAAGAGAUCGUAUAAAAUUUUUAACAUCAAAGAUUGUAAAUUGUACAAUCAAAUUUCUAUAAUCAUCUGAUAGUAAAUACUACAAUCUUUAUCGCUGUCUGUAUAUUUAGCACUAAAUAUGGUUGCCCUUAACAUCAUUAUGUUACCCAGUAGCAUAAAUUUCUCUCCGUGUAAUAAUAAUAACCUAAAAAAAUAAUUAUUAAAAAAUAAUUAAGAGAAAUAAUUAAUUAAUAACUUAAUUAAUAAUAAUCAAAAUAAAAGAAUAAUAAUAAAAAAGUAAUAAUAAAAAUUUAUAUUUUCUGUUACGUAAUUUCUAUAUAUUUAUUUAAUAAAUUUACAUUAUUAUUAUUAUUAAUAAAUUGAUAACUACGAUUUUUUUUGUAUAAUAUAGUUUAAAGAGUUAUAGUUAUUAUAGCUUAAAGACGAACAUAACCUUAAAGUUCACCAUAACCUCAAAAAUCAAGAUCAUAUUAUCAAAAAACAUAACCCUUGUGAAGUUGGCGUAGAGUUUAAAGACGAAUAUAACCUUAAAGUUCACCAUAACCUCAAAAAUCAAGAUCAUAUUCUCAAAAACAGUUUGAAAACGAACAUAACCUCAAAAUUGAAGGUAUAGUGAAUAUAAUGUUUUUUUUUUUGCGUACGUGAUUCAGAAUCAUAAAAAGAUGAUUCAUUUUUGUCUUUUUCUCUCAUCUUUUUAGAAGAAUAUUUGUCGCUUAUAUUGUACAUACAUACAGUUCGUGUAUAUAUAUAUAUAAAACAAUGGGACAUUUUCCAACCAGUGAAAUAUAAUAGGGUUGGGUUAUAUUGCAGGGGUCCCCUUGACUUGACGCCAAUGUCGUCGUCGAGAGAGAUCCGAGUAAAGAAGAAAAAAAAAGAAAAGAAAAAAAAAGAGAAGGAGAAUCCUACAAGAAAGCAAGAAGAGGAGCAAAAAGAAUAUAAGAGUAUAAAAGGGGGAGUAGGUAGGCCUGGGCGUUGUAAAAAUCCCCCCGGCCUCUUCGUUCGUAGACAGUUUAAUGGCCUCUGCAGGCUCUCCCCGUGGCCCAAAGGGAUAAGGGCCCCGUUUCCAAUUGACCGAUUAGACAUCAGUUGGAUAUGCCGAGAGAGUGAGUGAGAGAGAGAGAGAGAGAAAACUAACAUUUAUAUAUAUAUAUAUAUAUAUAUAUUCGCGCGCACCUCAUAUAAAUCGAUUUAAUCACACAUACAGGAGAGAGAAAAAAAGGAGUGGGGGGGGAGUGACCACAGAAACAAAUUUAAUACACCAAUUAAACAAUUAUGUCCUUUUAUCUACAACUGUUUCCCUUUAUGAUUCUUCACACGAUCUUAAUCAAGCAUUUAUCUUAUAUUUAUUUAUUAUAUAUGACUGUUAUAAAUCUUCAAUCUUGGAAAUUAAAAGUAAAAAAAACAAAAAAAUUAGUUUUCAAAAAAAAAUUUAAUUUUAAAAAUUCAAAAAAAAUUCUACUUAAUUUAAUACUUAUUAUUUUUUUAAUUUAUUAUUUAAUUUUUAUUAACUAAUUUUUAAUUAAAUACUGUACUAAAAAAAACGUAAUACUAAAAAUAUACUAAUACUAAAAAAAAAAAAAAAAAAAAAAAAAAAAAAAAAAAAAAAAAAAAUACAAAAA